rnacentral:rRNA from 1 species
CGUGUAGGCGGUUUGUUAAGUCUGAUGUGAAAGCCCCGGGCUCAACCUGGGAAGUGCAUUGGAAACUGGCAGACUUGAAUACGGGAGAGGGUAGUGGAACUUCCUAGUGUAGGAGUGAAAUCCGUAGAUAUUAGGAGGAACACCGGUGGCGAAGGCGGCUGCCUGGACCGAUAUUGACGCUGAGACGCGAAAGCGUGGGGAGCAAACAGGAUUAGAUACCCUGGUAGUCCACGCCGUAAACGAUGAGUACUAGGUGUUGCGGGUAUUGACCCCUGCAGUGCCGCAGCUAACGCAUUAAGUACUCCGCCUGGGAAGUACGGCCGCAAGGCUAAA